CUGUUUGGCAGGUUUGUCAUCUGGGAUAAGCAAUAAAAGAAAAUGCCUAGAGUGGCAAAUGGUGACUGGGCGGUGAAUGCACCGAACCAUAGCAGAAAAAUUUAAAAAAGUCUAAUGUUGAAGUUGAAAUCAAGAGAAUAGUGGUACGGCCACACCAGUUACAGAACAACAUGCACCUCAGUGUCAGUCCAAAAUACACACAAUAAGCAGUUUGAACUCACUGAUGUAAUGCCACUUAUUAAGUGUUAAUACGCUCAGUGAAACUGAGUCCAGCGCAAGGGAGAUCCAAUUUAGGAGGAGAGGUUAGAGAGGCCAGCGUCUCCACGGCAGGUGACAGUGCGCACGGAUCCGCUGCGCCACUCAUGGAUGAAAUAAUGAAAUAGUAAAUAGGACUACAGUAACUGAAAUAUGUGCAGAAUCAAGACAGUCAAGACGGCCAAGUGCUUGGUGGAGCAUGUACACCUUGAUCACUUAAUAGCCUACAAAUCAUCCACAGGAUCAAUCAUAGGAUCAUCACACGAGUUUGCCCCCACGACACAGCGUUUGUUCCUGGGAAGAUGGAUCCGUGCGUCCCGCCUCCUGUGCACCAUGGCUGUCUGAGCCUCCUGCACUACAGACUCACAGGCACUA